GUGCUUGCUUUGGCAACACAUAUACUAAAAUUGGAAUGGAAGAGAACAUUAGAAUGGCCCCUGUGCAAGGAUGACAAGCAAGGAAAAGUGGAUGAGUCUCAUAUG